AGGUCUAUUAUAUUAUAGACAGAUCUAAACUAGCAUCAAGCAAAACAACAGAUGCAAUAAAAACUUACAUUGAAUCUCAUCACCGUUGUUCAUAAGGUCAAUCUGGUAUACCUGAGCCUUAAUUUUCUUAUCAGCGAUCACCUUUUCAGUAGCAUGGCAGUAAGGGCUAAAAUUAAGAGUUAAUAUCACUGCUUAACAAAAAAAAUUAAGUAGUCGGUUCUAGGCAUAUGGAAGUGUAAUUUGUUAAAACAAAAAUACAAGCGUUCAAACUAUGGUAAGCCAGUGUGACAAAUACACGCCCUUAUGCAACGAUUACUUUACUAAGCAAACGUACCAGUAAGACUUGGCAAAAACAACAACAUCGUUGUCAGCAACGGCAGAGUCAACCUAUACAGAAAUGUUAGUACCCUGUAAAAGAACAUUUUACCAAAAUUCAGCGACAUUGUGGUUAAUCUCUGAUUCUAGCCAAACGGAUACGUACAAAUGAUUCAACACUAGACAUGGUUCUAAUAACGUAACAAACAAAAACCUUUAAAUUUGGUGGUAUGUGGUAGGCAGAUAUGUAUUAUCAGUUGUGUAUUAUAUAUAUGUGCAUGGUUUUCCAUAUUGCUAAUUCAUACGUCAGUGGAGCACGUAUCCCUAACGUUAGAAAAGUCUAGUAGACUUAUACGUUAGUAAACGGUUCAAUAACCGAAAGACUAGCAUAUGGCAGGGAAUAUAAUGAAUUUUAUGAUUUUUAUUAUUUUUUUUUUAAAACCGCCUAUAAUGAUUUCGUGCAGAGAAUUGUACUAGUUGGAUGUUUUCUGUUCUGUAUGACUUGUUUAUUCUAGCGACUUAGCGUGCUUUGCAUUGUUAUGAAUAAUAAGACUAAAUGAUUGCGAUUUCGAAUAGAUUUCAUUUAUUUACAAAUCUUAUGAGCUCUGGCUACAACAAUUAAUUAAUUAACGGAUUUAAAGUGCAUAGAAAAAAAAAGGCUAACCUAUUUUUAUAAUUGCGUAUGUUUAACUUGAAUUUUCGUUAUCUGUUAAGUAAUAACAGUCAAUCAAUUGAAAUAAAAAUUGUGAAUUGAGACCAAAUAUACCUUCAUCGAAAAACCCUGCUUAAAAUCUUUUUAUUAUCUAUUUUAGUUUUCUGUGUCGAUUUGUUACGCUAAACCAUUUUUAAGCUUCUAAUAAAGCAAUGAUAUUACCUUGCUCAAAAACAUUUGCUCUUGAUCAACUUAAGCUAUGUUGCCUACCCAUUGACAUGAACGUCAACAAUUUAGCUAAUUAGAUAAACUAAUGAUUUACUAUUUUCCUUUUUAGAAAAAAAUUCUGGAAAAUAGAGCUGUAAAUCAAUUAGCAUUUUAAAUACAUGAUUCGAUGUUUCAUCUGCUAACUUUAAUAUACGCAAUUAAGUAGAUAUUUUUGAAUAAUGACUCUAAGAACGUCUCAGCAUUAUACAAGCAUAUCCUUAAAGAUUUUAUCAGAUACUUCCUUUUAUAUUAAAAAAUGAAAGGUUGUGAUUCAAACACGUUGCUUAUCAUUUAAGAUCGUUAGGGAGGGCUAUAAACAAAAAAUUGGAAACUGAGGAUACUUUACAACAGCGCUUUGAUCCUUCCCAAAGAAAGAUUCAUA